UCAUUGAGAUUCCAGAAUUGAACGAAUCUUCUCACAGUAUUGAAGGUAAUGCAGGCAGUGCACUAUUGUCACCAUAUCAGUUACUGAUAUCAACUGGGAUUGCAAAGCAUACAAUGACACCAAAAAAG